UACGUAGGUGGCAAGCGUUGUCCGGAUUUAUUGGGUUUAAAGGGUGCGUAGGCGGCCUUAUAAGUCAGUGCUGAAAUAUCCCGGCUUAACCGGGAGGGUGGCAUUGAUACUGUAGGGCUUGAGUGUAGUCGAGGUAGGCGGAAUGUGACAAGUAGCGGUGAAAUGCAUAGAUAUGUCACAGAACACCAAUUGCGAAGGCAGCUUACUAUGGUAUUAUUGACGCUGAGGCACGAAAGCGUGGGGAUCAAACAGG
rnacentral:rRNA from 1 species